ACUUGGCUGGCUCAGUUGGUGGAGCAUGAGACUCUUGACCUCAGGGUUGUGAGUUCAAGCCCCACGUUGGGUA
rnacentral:tRNA from 1 species